UAGUUUAGGUAAUGCAGAUGUUGGUCUCUCUAACACUGUGGCAUGUCCCCUUUCUUCUACACUCACUACAGACACCUUUUCUCUGUCUCAGACUAUACCAGGAACUUCUGCCUGCUAGUAAGAAGGUAAGGAGACAAGUGGACCAGUGAGUGCUAGGGGACAGUCCUUAGAAAGAAUGGAGUGAGUGCAUCAUUAGACGCAUUUAUGUCAAGCUCAAGGUGCUGCCUGCAUUGUAUGCCCUUAGUUGGACAGCCUGCAGGAUUGGCAGGCAGCCUGACAUGCAUUCAUGCCAGGCUGACCUUCCA